CCCCGGUAAACGGCGGCCGUAACUAUAACGGUCCUAAGGUAGCGAAAUUCCUUGUCGGGUAAGUUCCGACCUGCACGAAUGGCGUAAUGAUGGCCAGGCUGUCUCCACCCGAGACUCAGUGAAAUUGAACUCGCUGUGAAGAUGCAGUGUACCCGCGGCAAGACGGAAAGACCCCGUGAACCUUUACUAUAGCUUGACACUGAACAUUGAGCCUUGAUGUGUAGGAUAGGUGGGAGGCUUUGAAGUGUGGACGCCAGUCUGCAUGGAGCCGACCUUGAAAUACCACCCUUUAAUGUUUGAUGUUCUAACGUGGACCCGUAAUCCGGGUUGCGGACAGUGUCUGGUGGGUAGUUUGACUGGGGCGGUCUCCUCCUAAAGAGUAACGGAGGAGCACGAAGGUUGGCUAAUCCUGGUCGGACAUCAGGAGGUUAGUGCAAUGGCAUAAGCCAGCUUGACUGCGAGCGUGACGGCGCGAGCAGGUGCGAAAGCAGG
rnacentral:rRNA from 2 species